rnacentral:rRNA from 1 species
CAGUCGAGCGGACAGAUGGGAGCUUGCUCCCUGAUGUUAGCGGCGGACGGGUGAGUAACACGUGGGUAACCUGCCUGUAAGACUGGGAUAACUCCGGGAAACCGGGGCUAAUACCGGAUGGUUGUUUGAACCGCAUGGUUCAAACAUAAAAGGUGGCUUCGGCUACCACUUACAGAUGGACCCGCGGCGCAUUAGCUAGUUGGUGAGGUAACGGCUCACCAAGGCAACGAUGCGUAGCCGACCUGAGAGGGUGAUCGGCCACACUGGGACUGAGACACGGCCCAGACUCCUACGGGAGGCAGCAGUAGGGAAUCUUCCGCAAUGGACGAAAGUCUGACGGAGCAACGCCGCGUGAGUGAUGAAGGUUUUCGGAUCGUAAAGCUCUGUUGUUAGGGAAGAACAAGUACCGUUCGAAUAGGGCGGUACCUUGACGGUACCUAACCAGAAAGCCACGGCUAACUACGUGCCAGCAGCCGCGGUAAUACGUAGGUGGCAAGCGUUGUCCGGAAUUAUUGGGCGUAAAGGGCUCGCAGGCGGUUUCUUAAGUCUGAUGUGAAAGCCCCCGGCUCAACCGGGGAGGGUCAUUGGAAACUGGGGAACUUGAGUGCAGAAGAGGAGAGUGGAAUUCCACGUGUAGCGGUGAAAUGCGUAGAGAUGUGGAGGAACACCAGUGGCGAAGGCGACUCUCUGGUCUGUAACUGACGCUGAGGAGCGAAAGCGUGGGGGAGCGAACAGGAUUAGAUACCCUGGUAGUCCACGCCGUAAACGAUGAGUGCUAAGUGUUAGGGGGUUUCCGCCCCUUAGUGCUGCAGCUAACGCAUUAAGCACUCCGCCUGGGGAGU